CUCGAUGUCGGCUCAUCACAUCCUGGGGCUGAAGCCGGUCCCAAGGGUAUGGCUGUUCGCCAUUUAAAGUGGUACGCGAGCUGGGUUUAGAACGUCGUGAGACAGUUCGGUCCCUAUCUGCCGUGGACGUUUGAGAUUUGAGAGGGGCUGCUCCUAGUACGAGAGGACCGGAGUGGACGAACCUCUGGUGUUCCGGUUGUCACGCCAGUGGCACUGCCGGGUAGCUAUGUUCGGAAGAGAUAACCGCUGAAAGCAUCUAAGCGGGAAACUUGCCUCAAGAUGAGAUCUCACUGGAGCCUUGAGCUCCCUGAAGGGCCGUCGAAGACUACGACGUUGAUAGGCAGGGUGUGUAAGCGUUGUGAGGCGUUGAGCUAACCUGUACUAAUUGCCCGUGAGGCUUGACCAUAUAACACCCAAACAAUU
rnacentral:rRNA from 1 species